GCAGUCGAGCGGUAGCACAGAGAGCUUGCUCUCGGGUGACGAGCGGCGGACGGGUGAGUAAUGUCUGGGAAACUGCCUGAUGGAGGGGGAUAACUACUGGAAACGGUAGCUAAUACCGCAUAACGUCGCAAGACCAAAGUGGGGGACCUUCGGGCCUCAUGCCAUCAGAUGUGCCCAGAUGGGAUUAGCUGGUAGGUGGGGUAACGGCUCACCUAGGCGACGAUCCCUAGCUGGUCUGAGAGGAUGACCAGCCACACUGGAACUGAGACACGGUCCAGACUCCUACGGGAGGCAGCAGUGGGGAAUAUUGCACAAUGGGCGCAAGCCUGAUGCAGCCAUGCCGCGUGUGUGAAGAAGGCCUUCGGGUUGUAAAGCACUUUCAGCGGGGAGGAAGGCGGUGAGGUUAAUAACCUCAUCGAUUGACGUUACCCGCAGAAGAAGCACCGGCUAACUCCGUGCCAGCAGCCGCGGUAAUACGGAGGGUGCAAGCGUUAAUCGGAAUUACUGGGCGUAAAGCGCACGCAGGCGGUCUGUCAAGUCGGAUGUGAAAUCCCCGGGCUCAACCUGGGAACUGCAUUCGAAACUGGCAGGCUAGAGUCUUGUAGAGGGGGGUAGAAUUCCAGGUGUAGCGGUGAAAUGCGUAGAGAUCUGGAGGAAUACCGGUGGCGAAGGCGGCCCCCUGGACAAAGACUGACGCUCAGGUGCGAAAGCGUGGGGAGCAAACAGGAUUAGAUACCCUGGUAGUCCACGCUGUAAACGAUGUCGAUUUGGAGGUUGUGCCCUUGAGGCGUGGCUUCCGGAGCUAACGCGUUAAAUCGACCGCCUGGGGAGUACGGCCGCAAGGUUAAAACUCAAAUGAAUUGACGGGGGCCCGCACAAGCGGUGGAGCAUGUGGUUUAAUUCGAUGCAACGCGAAGAACCUUACCUGGUCUUGACAUCCACAGAACUUUCCAGAGAUGGAUUGGUGCCUUCGGGAACUGUGAGACAGGUGCUGCAUGGCUGUCGUCAGCUCGUGUUGUGAAAUGUUGGGUUAAGUCCCGCAACGAGCGCAACCCUUAUCCUUUGUUGCCAGCGGUCCGGCCGGGAACUCAAAGGAGACUGCCAGUGAUAAACUGGAGGAAGGUGGGGAUGACGUCAAGUCAUCAUGGCCCUUACGACCAGGGCUACACACGUGCUACAAUGGCAUAUACAAAGAGAAGCGACCUCGCGAGAGCAAGCGGACCUCAUAAAGUAUGUCGUAGUCCGGAUUGGAGUCUGCAACUCGACUCCAUGAAGUCGGAAUCGCUAGUAAUCGUAGAUCAGAAUGCUACGGUGAAUACGUUCCCGGGCCUUGUACACACCGCCCGUCACACCAUGGGAGUGGGUUGCAAAAGAAGUAGGUAGCUUAACCUUCGGGAGGGCGCUUACCACUUUGUGAUUCAUGACUGGGGUGAAGUCGUAACAAGAGCCG
rnacentral:rRNA from 1 species